rnacentral:rRNA from 1 species
ACUCAAAGGAAUUGACGGGGACCCGCACAAGCGGUGGAUGAUGUGGAUUAAUUCGAUGCAACGCGAAAAACCUUACCUACCCUUGACAUGUCAAGAAUUUUGCAGAAAUGUGAAAGUGCCCGCAAGGGAGCUUGAACACAGGUGCUGCAUGGCUGUCGUCAGCUCGUGUCGUGAGAUAUUGGGUUAAGUCCCGCAACGAGCGCAACCCUUAUCAUUAGUUGCUACGCAAGAGCACUCUAAUGAGACUGCCGGUGACAAACCGGAGGAAGGUGGGGAUGACGUCAAGUCCUCAUGGCCCUUAUGGGUAGGGCCUCACACGUCAUACAAUGGUACAUACAGAGGGUUGCCAACCCGCGAGGGGGAGCUAAUCUCAGAAAAUGUAUCGUAGUCCGGAUUGCACUCUGCAACUCGAGUGCAUGAAGUUGGAAUCGCUAGUAAUCGCAGAUCAGAAUGCUGCGGUGAAUACGUUCCCGGGUCUUGUACACACCGCCCGU